CCUACGGGUGGCAGCAGUCGAGAAUAAUUCACAAUGGGGGAAACCCUGAUGGGGCGACGCCGCGUGGGGGAAUGAAGGUCUGCGGAUUGUAAACCCCUGUCAUGUGGGAGCAAAUUAAAAAGAUAGUACCACAAGAGGAAGAGACGGCUAACUCUGUGCCAGCAGCCGCGGUAAUACAGAGGUCUCAAGCGUUGUUCGGAAUCACGGGGCGGAAAGGGGGCGGAGGCGUUUUCGUAAGUCGUGUGUGACAGGCGCGGGCUCCACCCGCGGCCGGCACCUGAUACUGCGAGACUAGAGGAAUGGAGGGGUAACCGGAAUUCUCGGUGUCGCAGU
rnacentral:rRNA from 1 species